rfam:Terrisporobacter sp. 08-306576 Contig098, whole genome shotgun sequence.
UUCUUAUCCAGAGAGGUGGAGGGAAAGGCCCUGUGAAACCCAGCAACCAGUAUAUAUUAAUAUACAAUGGUGCUAAGUCCUGCAGCAAUUAUGCUGAAAGAUAAGUA